GUUUAUAGUGCCAAAGAAGUGUUCAGGUGUUUUGCUGAGAACGGGGAAAGCCGUUCUAGGAAACCCCUGUAAGGCAAAGGACUCAGACCUGCCCAGAUCGAGGUGCUCUCUCAAAUCUGCCAGGGUUGGAUUACACUCAGUAACUCAACCAGCAUCCAUCCCUCAGCUAUUUCCAGAGCGCCACCUACUGCCAGGCUCCAGGGCGUGCAGCAGUGAAAGCCAGUCAUUGACCCUGCAGUGGGGAGCUUACCUUCUAGCCGCCAAUAUCCAUGAUCCAAGUAAGUACCUAUGUGAGAUAUCCAGGGAGCUGUGGGUGUGGAUAAGAGACCUCUGAGCCUGGGUUGAUAACUGAUGUGCGUGUUUUACAUUUAUUCAAGGACUUGAGAAGGUCAAGGAUAUCACUUAGAGCUUUUGGCCAAAGCUGAAAGCUGGCCAUGCUACAGAAUGAAAUGAAAGAGGUUUCUAUUUUCUUCAUGUUCAGAAAGCAGGCCGUGGUACCGCUGGGAUUCACCUCCUCUCCCCAAGCCAUUUCCAGCUUCAUAGAAAAGGUGAGAAAACCGAGGGACAGUGGGGUAACAUGACUUGCUCCAGGGCACACGGUUAAGAAAGUGACAGAGCUGAAAGGAACUUCUGCAACGCAACAACCGGAAAAGAAAAGCAACCCGAGUCAAAACUGAGCAAAGGACGGGCACACAUGCACAUUUCUCUGAAGAAAGCAUCAAAUGGUCAGCAAGCACACGGAAAGAUGCUUGACGUCAGUAAUCGUCAGGAAAAUACAAACCAACACUACAAUGCAAUGCCACUUCACACCUAGUAGGAGCAUUAUUAUAAAAAAAGAAAGGAAGAAAGAAGAAAACAAGUGUUGGUGAGAAUGUGGAGAAACUGGAACCCUUGUGCAUUGCUGGUGGGAUACACAAUGGAGCAGCCAUUGUAGAAAAACUAUAUGAAUAUGGCGGCUCUGCAAAAAAUUGAACAUACAGCUACCACAUGAUUCAGCAAUUCCACUUCUAAGUAUAUACCCCAAAUAAUUCAAAGCUGAUACUUGUGAACAGACACUUGUACACCCAUAAGUUCACAGCAGCGUUGGUCACAAUAGCCAAAAAGUGGAAACAUUGCAAAUCUCCACUGAUACAUGAAUGGAUAGACAAAAUGUGGUGUAUCCAUUCAGUGGGUGAGUAUUCAGCCCCAAAAAGGAAUUACAUUCUGACACAUGCUACAAGAUGGAUGAACCUUAAAAAUAUUAAGUGACGUUCAGUCAGUUCAGUUCAGUCGCUCAGUCGUGUCCGACCCCAUGAAUCGCAGCACGCCAGGCCUCUCUGUCCAUCACCAACUCCCGGAGUUCACUCAGACUCACGUCCAUCGAGUCAGUGAUGCCAUCCAGCCAUCUCAUCCUCUGUCGUCCCCUUCUCCUCCUGCCCCCAAUCCCUCCCAGCAUCAGAGUCUUUUCCAAUGAGUCAACACUUAGCAUGAGGUGGCCAAAGUACUGGAGUUUCAGCUUUAGCAUCAUUCCUUCCAAAGAACACUGGGACUGAUCUCCUUCAGAAUGGACUGGUUGGACCAGACACAAAAGUAUUGUAUGAGUCCAUUUACACGAGGUACCAAGAGCAGUCAAAUUCAAAGAGACAGAAAGUAGAAUUGUGGUUGCCAGAGGCUGGAGGGAGGACAGAAUGGGGAGUUAUUGUUUAUUGGGUACACAGGUUCAGUUUGGGAUGUUGAAAAGUUCUGGUAAUACACAAGGUAAUGACUGCACAACAAUGUGAAUGCCACUUAAUGCCCCUGAAUUGUACACUUAGAAAUGGUUACAAUGGUGAAUUUUAUGUUGUAUCUUAUAUUUUUGUUUUUUAUUUUUUGUAUUUUUUAUGUUGUAUCUUACAACUAAAAAAAUGAAAGAAAAAUAAAUGUCAGAGUUGGAUCAGGA
ensembl:lncRNA